CGCGGGAGAAACCAUUUUGCAGAGGAGCCUUCAUCAGGACAAAUGUUUUUGGCCAGACAGACAUCUUUUACAGACGAGAGAUCCCUAUUCGCUGAUAUUCCAUAGCUUUUUUAAAAAAGGAAAACCAUGAGCCCAGGGAUAUUACAUUAUUGCAGCCACACAGCCCCUGAAGCAUACCUGAUGUGAAGAAAUGAGGCCUGGCAGCAUUUCAGCUCCGCCAUUAUACUUGGUUAAGAAGGAAAGGGCUUUAAACAGUGCACCCCUGGCCUGGAAGAUGCACAGAUGCCAUUCUGAACCAGCAGGCCCACGGCACAGCAGAUCAGGCUUUUCUUUUUGGAAGGAAGACAGAAAAUAAGAGUGCAUACAGUAUGUGGUAUAAACGUUUUUAACAACACAGACAGAGGUUCCAAAACACUAAUUUUCCGUGCUCUGCUGCUAAGGUGGAACACAGGCUUUUAAUAUUGUUUUGAUUAUACCCAGCUAUGAUCUUUUAGCUAUAUGGUUAUUUAGCUAUCUUUUUUCUGGGGCUGACUGCUGAAAUGACCAACAUGGCAGAACUAUGAUGAUGAGUCCCUAUUAAAGGUGAAUCAGCAGUUAUAUCUUAAAUUAGUUAAUUAACUGGAAAAGUUGACCUACCAUUUAGUAAGAUUAGUGCACAUUCAGUAAACCCAGAAGAGGAGUUACUGACAGGUAAAUCUAGUUUAAGGUCAGAGCAGGGCACAGUGUCAGCUUGUGAGCUGAAGAGGAACCUGUGGAAUUAUCAUCCUCACUAGAAACUGAAAAGAAAGAAGAAGAAAAAACUAAAAUCAGCUUGUUACAAUUAAAGAACAUUUCUGAUCUACUGAAAGUGGAAGUCAUAACACUGACAACACAUCUCAAGGAAUGCUAGUUUAUGCUGCACCCUGUUUGUUUACAACUCUUGUGAAGUGAGGCUAUUAUCAGCUUCUUCAGAUUUCAAAGUACACCUCUGAGUAGAACAGGAAAGACAAAUAUGAAAAAGGGGUUGCAUAUUUAGCUUUUAGAAAAUAAAAUUAAAGAACAAUGCUUUCUGCUAAAUGUGUUUUUUGUUUGUGUUCAAGAGUUUGGGUAGCAAAAACACUAAUAUAAGAGAGACUUAACAUCAGGUUGUGUAAUUAAAGUGUCUAUCAUGAAUUCAGUUUCAGUCACUGAAACUGGUCUAAAUGCAGGUGUUCUCUACACAAUCUGUACAGUCUUUUCUAUUGGACAUCUUGGCAUGUUGUUGUUAUAAAGGGCUGGUGUACACUUUUAUCUUUAACCUUCUUCACUUGCUCACCUGUUAUCCUUAUCGUGGUAUAAAAAGUCAUUCUCUUUGUGUUUUGUUUAUAUUUUGAAAAUGUUGUCCUUACUUGUUUGCUCCACUAUGUUGUAUGAAGGGUACAUAUUCCCACCUCUUGUUUAAAUGGAGGCUUCCUGUCCAUCAAUAGGAGCCAGGGGUUAGAUUCAGAGUAUUUAACCAGGCACUCCUGGUACAGCAUGUUAAUCUUUGUCAAAGUCUUAUCUGAGUUACCUGUGUAACAUAACCUGCUGUUUCUACAUUGUUAUGGAACUUCUAAUGGAAAACUAGUUAGGCCAGUGUUUGUCAUGACUUUUGUGGCAACUUUUGGAUUUACUCUUUUGUCACCAUUUGCACACCAUUUAAUACUUCGAAACAUCCUUCUGUGUCUGAUUAAGCAAUGGUAGUACUUAAUUGUGUAUGAAUGAUAACCUUUGUUUAUUUUCACAUAAUUGCAAAAAAAGAAAACAAGAAAUUAAAUCAAACAACUACCGUUGUUUCAAACAUGAAAAGCACAUUCAGCAUCACACGAGUAAGCUAUCUCUUAUUGUUUGACUAUCAAGCAAGAGUCCUGA